rnacentral:rRNA from 1 species
AAAUUGAAGAGUUUGAUCAUGGCUCAGAUUGAACGCUGGCGGCAGGCCUAACACAUGCAAGUCGAACGGUAACAGGAAGCAGCUUGCUGCUUCGCUGACGAGUGGCGGACGGGUGAGUAAUGUCUGGGAAACUGCCUGAUGGAGGGGGAUAACUACUGGAAACGGUGGCUAAUACCGCAUAACGUCGCAAGACCAAAGAGGGGGACCUUCGGGCCUCUUGCCAUCAGAUGUGCCCAGAUGGGAUUAGCUAGUUGGUGAGGUAAC